UGGGGAAUAUUGCACAAUGGGGGAAACCCUGAUGCAGCCAUGCCGCGUGUGUGAAGAAGGCCUUCGGGUUGUAAAGCACUUUCAGCGAGGAGGAAAGGGGUGAUGCUAAUACCAUCAUCCUGUGACGUUACUCGCAGAAGAAGCACCGGCUAACUCCGUGCCAGCAGCCGCGGUAAUACGGAGGGUGCAAGCGUUAAUCGGAAUUACUGGGCGUAAAGCGCACGCAGGCGGUUGGAUAAGUCAGAUGUGAAAGCCCCGGGCUCAACCUGGGAACUGCAUUUGAAACUGUUCGACUAGAGUCUUGUAGAGGGGGGUAGAAUUCCAGGUGUAGCGGUGAAAUGCGUAGAGAUCUGGAGGAAUACCGGUGGCGAAGGCGGCCCCCUGGACAAAGACUGACGCU
rnacentral:rRNA from 1 species